AUUCCAGCUCCAAUAGCGUAUAUUAAAGUUGUUGCGGUUAAAAAGCUCGUAGUUGGAUUUCUGCUGAGGAUGACCGGUCCGCCCUCUGGGUGAGUAUCUGGCUCAGCCUUGGCAUCUUCCUGAAGAACGUAUCUGCACUUGACUGUGUGGUGCGGUAUUUAGGACAUUUACUUUGAGGAAAUUAGAGUGUUUCAAGCAAGCGCACGCCUUGAAUACAUUAGCAUGGAAUAAUAAGAUAGGACCUCGGUUCUAUUUUGUUGGUUUCUAGUACUGAAGUAAUGAUUGAUAGGGACAGUUGGGGGUGCUAGUAUUGGCCGGCCAGAGGUGAAAUUCUUGGAUUCGGUCAAGACUAACUUAUGCGAAAGCAUUCACCAAGGAUGUCUUCAUCA
rnacentral:rRNA from 1 species